ACUCGCAUGCAUGACACAGGAAGCCCACGGGACACUUCCCCAGCACGCCCCGCUUCCUCUGCACUCCUGGAAGGAAGACCUGUUCUUGCUUCUUCCGUACUCUCAGGAUCUGGCACAGAACCCGACAAAGGGAAAUAUUUAAUGAACUAUGGCGUAGGCCUGGCCCUGAACGACACCCUGGGGACCCAGCAGCAGCAAGGUGCAGCUUCUGCCCUCAGCAACCUCACGGUCUAAUGGACGCGGCACAGUGGGCAGGAAGUGACACCAAAGAGCAUCAGGAUUAGGAAGUCUGUUC
rnacentral:lncRNA from 1 species